rnacentral:lncRNA from 1 species
UAAAUAAUAAAAUAUGAGAAAGAGAGUUUCUCUCUCUUCCCUCUCUUUCUUCAGCCUGAAUUAGUAUUUUCUCUCUCUAGAAUUGGACUUUCUCUCUCUACUUUCUCUCUCUAGAAUCCUCUCUCUAGAUUAUUUCUCUCUCCUAAGAUUUCUAGAAUUUUGAGAAGAAUGAUGAUGAAUUUAAAUGAUCCUCGUGAUGAAUUUUUGAUCUGUGAUCGUCGGACGGUACACCGACACCCACUUUGAUCAGAUUAGGUAUUUUUAAGAUUUUAAUUUUUAUAAUUUUAUUAAAUUAUCCACAUGAUAAUCUUAGCAUGAUUUGAUUUGAUCGAUCGAAUUUGUUGAA